rnacentral:rRNA from 1 species
GAUGAACGCUGGCGGCGUGCCUAAUACAUGCAAGUCGAGCGAAUGGAUUAAGAGCUUGCUCUUAUGAAGUUAGCGGCGGACGGGUGAGUAACACGUGGGUAACCUGCCCAUAAGACUGGGAUAACUCCGGGAAACCGGGGCUAAUACCGGAUAACAUUUUGAACCGCAUGGUUCGAAAUUGAAAGGCGGCUUCGGCUGUCACUUAUGGAUGGACCCGCGACGAAUGAGAGAGUUGGUGAGGUAACGGCUCACCAAGGCAACGAUGCGUAGCCGACCUGAGAGGGUGAUCGGCCACACUGGGACUGAGACACGGCCCAGACUCCUACGGGAGGCAGAAGUAGGGAAUCUUCCGCAAUGGACGAAAGUCUGACGGAGCAACGCCGCGUGAGUGAUGAAGGCUUUCGGGUCGUAAAACUCUGUUGUUAGGGAAGAACAAGUGCUAGUUGAAUAAGCUGGCACCUUGACGGUACCUAACCAGAAAGCCACGGCUAACUACGUGCCAGCCGCCGCGGUAA